rnacentral:rRNA from 1 species
UACGGGGGGAGCAAGCGUUGUUCGGAUUUACUGGGCGUAAAGGGCGCGUAGGCGGUCAGCACAAGUCAGUUGUGAAAUCUCCGGGCUUAACUCGGAAAGGUCAACUGAUACUGUGCGACUAGAGUGCAGAAGGGGCAACUGGAAUUCUCGGUGUAGCGGUGAAAUGCGUAGAUAUCGAGAGGAACACCUGCGGCGAAGGCGGGCUGCUGGGCUGACACUGACGCUGAGGCGCGAAAGCCAGGGGAGCGAACGGG